rnacentral:rRNA from 1 species
GACGUAGGAGGCGAGCGUUAUCCGGAAUUACUGGGCGUAAAGGGCGUGUAGGCGGCUUUUUAAGUUUCUGGUGAAAUCUCCCGGCUCAACUGGGAGGGCGCUAGGAAAACUGGAAGGCUUGAGGGCAGCAGAGGGGGGUGGAAUUCCCGGUGUAGUGGUGAUAUGCGUAGAUAUCGGGAGGAACACCAGUGGCGAAGGCGACCCCCUGGGCUGUUCCUGACGCUGAGGCGCGAAAGCGUGGGGAGCAAACAGGAUUAGAUACCCUCGUA